UACGUAGGGUGCAGGCGUUAAUCGGAAUUACUGGGCGUAAAGCGUGCGCAGGCGGUCUUUUAAGUCAGAUGUGAAAUCCCCGGGCUUAACCUGGGACUGCGUUUGAAACUGGAAGGCUUGAGUGUGGCAGAGGGGGGUGGAAUUCCACGUGUAGCAGUGAAAUGCGUAGAUAUGUGGAGGAACACCGAUGGCGAAGGCAGCCCCCUGGGCUAACACUGACGCUCAUGCACGAAAGCGUGGGGAGCAAACAGG
rnacentral:rRNA from 1 species